rnacentral:rRNA from 1 species
AAUUCGCCUGGAGAUGAGCUUGCGGCUGAUUAGCUAGUUGGUAGGGUAAGAGCCUACCAAGGCGACGAUCAGUAGCUGGUCUGAGAGGAUGAGCAGCCACACUGGGACUGAGACACGGCCCAGACUCCUACGGGAGGCAGCAGUGGGGAAUUUUCCGCAAUGGGCGAAAGCCUGACGGAGCAAGACCGCGUGGGGGAGGAAGGUUCUUGGAUUGUCAACCCCUUUUCUCAAGGAAGAAGUUCUGACGGUACCUGAGGAAUCAGCAUCGGCUAACUCCGUGCCAGCAGCCGCGGUAAUACGGAGGAUGCAAGCGUUAUCCGGAAUGAUUGGGCGUAAAGAGUCCGUAGGUGGCGAGUCAAGUCGAUUGUCAAAGCGCGAGGCUUAACUUCGUGAAGGCAGUGGAAA